rnacentral:rRNA from 1 species
UACGUAGGGGGCAAGCGUUGUCCGGAAUUAUUGGGCGUAAAGCGCGUGUAGGCGGUCCGGUAAGUCGGCUGUGAAAGUCCAGGGCUCAACCCUGGGAUGCCGGUCGAUACUGCCGGACUAGAGUUCGGAAGAGGCGAGUGGAAUUCCCGGUGUAGCGGUGAAAUGCGCAGAUAUCGGGAGGAACACCAAUGGCGAAGGCAGCUCGCUGGGACGUUACUGGA